AGCUGAUCAGCAUUCACAAAAGUAAACAGCACCUUUGUAUAGUGUUAAAUUCUGACAUAUACUGCACCAAAGGAGGUCUGUGUGUGUUUAUAAAGCAGCAGGCUAUGGGGAGGUGUGACAGACCUGUAUAUAAGAAAGAAUCUGAAAAGAUACCAAAAAGAUGACAACCUAUCUUCAAGUUGGGAAAAUCCAUGUCCUAAUGUUGUUAUGGCUGAUUAUGGAGGGUUUUGCUGGACGAAAUUCUUUUGCAUUUUCAGAGGACUGCAUGGGUAUUUUGGGUUUGACUCAGACAACAUCAAGAUGGAAAUCGUGAUUGUGGUAUCAAAGUCAAUGUAACUGAACUAGUUUUUGGAAAAUGAUCAACAACAUCAAAAUGAACAUUAUGAUCCUGAACGUAUUAAUAUAGCAUUGGACAAAGGCCGGUCUAAUGUUACAAGUUGUACAAAAUGGGUUAAAUGUGGCAAAGAAACAUUUAUUUUUAAGUUUAUUUUUGCAAAAUAUGACAGUCAAGGACUGUCACAAUGACUAAGGCACAAUGAAGUUAGAUGCAUUUAAAUAUGCACCUUUACGCUUAGUUAAAUGACAAUAUGUAGAGGCUAUUGUUUACACCAUGUAUCUCUCUUUGCCACUAAGGAAUCCUGAAUGGCCAAUUAUACUUCAGGAUUUAAACAGUUAGAGUAUUAUGUAAAUAGUUAUAAUAAGUCAGAGGCAGAAAUUGCAAAAGCACUGUUAACAAACAAAGUAUAGACUUAGUUAAAAAAGAAAA